UGGCUCAGAGCGAACGCUAGCGGCGAGCUUAACACAUGCAAGUCGAGCGGAGGGUUUCGGCCCUCAGCGGCGGACGGGUGAGUAACACGUAGGUUACGUGCCCUUUGGUGGGGAAUAACUUAGGGAAACCUGAGCUAAUACCGCAUAUGCCCUUCGGGGUGAAAGUCUUCGGACGCCAGAGGAUCGGCCUGCGGCCCAUUAUUUAAUCCUUGUUGGUGGGGUAACGGCCUACCAAGGGUACGAUGGGUAGCUGGUCUGAGAGGAUGAUCAGCCACACUGGGACUGAGACACGGCCCAGACUCCUACGGGAGGCAGCAGUGGGGAAUAUUGGACAAUGGGGGAAACCCUGAUCCAGCUACGCCGCGUGGGUGAUGAAGGCCUUCGGGUUGUAAAGCCCUGUCGAGGGGGACGAAGUUCUGACGGUACCCCUCAAGAAAGCACCGGCUAACUCCGUGCCAGCAGCCGCGGUAAAGUCUGUACU
rnacentral:rRNA from 1 species